GCCACCCUGCCUUUGUUCCCUCAUCGUGCGGAAGGGCUCGUGCUUCCUGCUGCUGCCACGCUGAGCCUGACGUGCUCAGCACGUGCUCACUGAAGUCCUUCCAGGGUCAGGAGCCCCUGUCCUGAGGAAGCCAGAACUACUAGGAGAGAGACACCCACGUGACCUGGGGCAAAACUGGGAGAUGCCUUGGGCAGAGCCAGGGGCCACGCAUCCUCUGGGGUAGCAGGGUGCGAUGACCUGGAGCUGGAGCAGACCCCGUCUUCCCCAAGCUGGCGUGUCUUCAAGCCUCAGUUUACCCGACUUCGAUGGUAUAUUCCCUCUUGCAGGCCUGGGUGUGGCUCCGCCUCUGUGUCACCAUGGUGGGGCCCACAGGUGUACAGAUCUCUGCUCCCAGAAGACUGUGUGCAUCUCCCAACCUCUGCUGAGUCCAACUGAAACCCUGGACUUGACAUGUGAUAGUCACGUGAAGAGACGCCGAGGGACAAGAAGGCAGGCGGGGUGGGGGGUGAGCCCCAGCUGUUCUGUGCCGUUCCGUUCAGAUGGUCCCAACUGUCCCAAAUGAAAACUAACACAAGCCAGAAAGGGCAGCUUGAAAGAGAACCUUUUAGACCCAGACUGCCCCACCCCAUUCAAACAUGACAGACAAAUGCAACCAUAAUCGGCAGCAAAGGCUGAGUGAGGAGCCCUGGAGGGGUGAGCAGAGGCCACAAGGGGCCUGGAGAGCUGCCCUGCGCCUGAGUGUAAAGUGGUCCCCCGGGACCAGCUGGAGCACCUUCCCCCCAGUAGUAAGGAGCUGCCCACGGACACUGACGCAGUGCAGCAGGAAGGCUAAACGUGAGUCCAUAUGAACAUGGAGCACGGCCAAGCACACGAGAUAAAGAAUUGGGCCAAGGAGAAGAGCGGACGUCCAGUGACAAAAUGGUGACCUGCCAGGACAGCCCCACACGUGUGCAGCACCAUGGAGCAGACGCAUGUGUGCACCAACCUCUGCACGUGGAACCGGGUGGGGUCCCCAGAGGGUCUGCAGAACAGGAGACCCCACGGUUCCACGACCAGUAGGGCCCAGCCGGCAUUUCCAGAACAGCCACAUACAGUGGAACACACGCUCUGUUCACGUGUCCACGGGACACACAUGGCCACUGCAGGCCUAUGACAAUCUGAAAUCCUGCCAUGUGUUUUCGACAGUGUCUCUGGUUCCUGAGCUCAACGUGGAGCUUGGUACAGAGAGACCACAGGAAAACCUCCAAACACUCGGGAAGAACACCCUUCUAAAUAUCUCCAAGGAAAAAAACCAAUACUGAACAGGGUGAAAAUGACGCACAGCCCAGGACAGGGUGCAGGAUGGCACCUGAGGCGGGGUGGGCACCAGGGGUGCUGCAGUCAGUUCUCUGGGUCCCAUGUCUCACAGCCCAAAACAGAUAGAAUGAAGGAAAUAACAGAGACAGGAAGUGAGUUCAUGAAGCUGAAACAACAGAGAAAAAUCAAUGAAAGUGAGAGCAUGGUCUUCCUGUCGGUCUGAAGGGGGUGCAGUCAUCCUGUGGCCCUUCCCCCCCAGGUCCUGGACCCUUCCCCAGUGGUGCUGGGCCCUUCUCUGUUGAGCCCCUGGUCUGUGGCCCUUCCCCCCCAGGUCCUGGGCCACUGGCACUUCACGCAUCCCCAUCUGUGCUCCAGGCUUGUUGGGGCCUGCCCAUCACCUCUGUUUCUCCAGUACUUAGCCUGCAAGUAUGCCUUCCAGCUUUGCUGGGGCCUCUCCUCCCCAUCUGUCUCAUGUGCUCACCAGACCAUCCUAACAUCCCACCAUGCCAAGCCCAAGUGACUGCCAACACAUGUUCUCUCUUCUUGGGGCUGAAAUCUGUCAAACUUCAAGGGGCAUCCCUGCCGUGAUAUUUUCUCUUCUUGUCUAUAGGGCUAGGAGCUUAUAGCUUUCAUAUUUGAGUGUUUUUUGUGGGAUCCAUAUUGUUCUCCACUAGUAUCAUGCCUGAUUAUUGGGUCCACAGUGAGAGCAUCGAGCUGCUGGCUCCUGGGGUGCCGGGCUUAAGAGAGGGGCCUCACUACCCAGCUAACAAUGGUGU